UACGAAGGGGGCUAGCGUUGUUCGGAAUCACUGGGCGUAAAGCGCACGUAGGCGGAUUGUUAAGUCAGGGGUGAAAUCCUGGAGCUCAACUCCAGAACUGCCCUUGAUACUGAGGAGCUUGAGUCCGGGAGAGGUGAGUGGAACUGCGAGUGUAGAGGUGAAAUUCGUAGAUAUUCGCAAGAACACCAGUGGCGAAGGCGGCUCACUGGCCCGGUACUGACGCUGAGGUGCGAAAGCGUGGGGAGCAAACAGG
rnacentral:rRNA from 1 species